rnacentral:misc_RNA from 1 species
UGCCAACUGCCAUUAAACUGUAAGGUGAGUGACCCAUCCCUUUGUUAUGUACUCUUUGAGAUUCUGGCUUCCUCCAUAUGAAUUGGAUUAAACUGGACUCCUAAGACUAAACUUACAAUUUACUAUUAGGAAACGAAUCGCAGUAAGUAAUAAAUAAGAAUUGUUGCUUACUCUGCCAUCUCUUAGCUCAAAGAUCACUGAAUCCUCCGAAAAUGGAAUUGGUCUUGUUGAUGCUACCUGCGAAUAUUUGAAUACCCAUCAUUAGUUUCACGUCAUUAAUGUUUACUAGUUAUCACGUAAUCAUACUAACUUUUGCAUCGCAGUUUCCAUUGAGAUCACUAAAGUUUUCCGCAUCCUUUUCCAAGCUAGCUGAAAUAUCUUCAUCUAUACAAACUUCCUUGUUCUUUUCUUCUUCCUCUACUUGUCUCUGAUGUUCAUCCUUUGUCUUUCUUACAUAAGGGAAGCCACAGUUUUUCCAAUUCCAUGUCAUUUGGUCCAUGUACCUCAUGUAUACUUUUCCAUCUGAACCAAUCAAAAAAAGUUGGUUGCCUUCAAAGCAUGGGCUAGGAGAAGUGAUCAAGGUUACGCCUUUAUUAGGUGUGCCAUGCUCAACCCAAUUCCAGCCUUCAACUGUAUUCCAAUGAUAUUCAACUAGCCCACCAUCUUCAGACAACAUAAAUAGUGAGCCUGUAAGUAAUAGAGAUGAUGGCCUCAUAGCAGUUCCAGGCAAUCUUGAUAGAAUCAAAUGGUGAGACUGAUAAUGUUCAUGCCACAAUUCUGUCACUUUGUUGUAUUGAUAUAGCCGACCAUUCCUUCCAAUGACAAAUACUAUAUUUUCCCUGAAAAGCUCCUGGUCUACUAUGCUUGCUACUUUGGUAUUUGGAGGGUUUCGGCAGUCCUUCCAUUUGAACUUCCUCAGGGCAACCUGUUAGUGAUUUGAGACAUUAAUCAGCAUAAACAAGGGAAGGAAAACCUUUGUUUAUUUAGUUUUUUUUUUAGCAGCCCUUUUGAUGUGUAAUUUAUUGGACAGAUAUUUAUCUUUUAGUUGGCUUUUGCUACUUACUGUAAACUGGAGUAAUCUUCCAUUUUUGCCCACAAAGAAGAGUGAAUCUUCUGCUGUAACUUUCAUAGCUUUACCUGGAAUUCCAUCCCAUGGAGGUCCUCCAGUCACUUGCUUUCCUUUCCUCAUAGCAGUGCAGUUUAACCAUCCAAGCUCAUUGCCACUCCUCUCUCUGAUAAGCAAACUACCAUAUAUGUCAACUAAAAAUAAACUUCCAUUGUAGUUUCCCAGUGCACCUUUCAUUGGUGUUGGGUGAUCAUGCCUCAGCCAAAGCCAUACAUUUUCAGUAUUAAGAUACUCAAAAGCCAAACCACCAUCUGUUAUGAGGAAAAAUGAUCUGCUUCCAUGCAUGACUCGUAGGUGAAAAUUGGUGUUUAUCCAAUUGUCUGGAAAACUAUAUUCUUCUGAAGAUUUGAUUAAUUCACUGGCACCUGUAACUAAGUAAUCUUGUUGUGCUUGGCUUCCCUUUCGCCUUCUUGUUGCUGCUCUUGUAAUUCCCAAAUCGUUAGGUUCAUCUUUUAUGCCUGUGAUGCAAUUUGUGGGUCCUCGUUCUUCUUUGCAAUACUCUGCAUUCCAUCCUUCAGUCUCUGGUGCAUCCAAUAUUGACCAUACAUAUUUAACUGAUACUUUUCUUCGGACAUUAAUUUGAUAAUUUGGACCUGUAUUUUCCCCACCUAGUCCUGGUAGAUGCAACUCAGCUAGUCUACCAUCAUCCAGUGCAAAUAUUAUUCUGCCAACUUGAAGUUGUAGCCCAGCAAUUCCUUUAGCAGCUUUUGCGUGUGGAGGAUGCAUAUGACUCAACCAUGCUUCAGGAAUUUGGUUCUCUAGAGCAGUACCUGUCCUCAUAUGAAAAACUUUAUACCCAGGAUGCAAAAUUUUGCUUCCAUAGCAGAAAUUUUUAAAUGAAAUAAAAAGUUUGCUGCAUUCAAAAUUAUGCUGUCUUAUCUUAAUUUUGGUUAAUGGUCUAUUAUUCAAUCAUGAUACUUGAAAAUCUGUUGCUUGAAGAAAUUAUUCAAAUAGUUAUUAUUUAAAUUUGGCAUUAUAUAUGUUUGUUGGCUUCAUGCCUUCAUCCAUGAAGCCAUUCGGAUAGCAUGUUGUCAAAGACAUACGGAUGCUCAUGUUACUUGAGUUGAUGUCACAAGCCAGCCUCAAAUCACAAGGAUAAUUUGGUAUCUUGUUGCGAGGCAGAGAAAUGCCAAGGAUAAUUUGGUAUCUUGUUGCGAGGCAGAGAAAUGCCAAGGAUAAUUUGGUAUCUUGUUGCGAGGCAGAGAAAUGCUAAUCUGAUGAAGGAUUGUCUUGUAGGGAUGUUAAAACUACUUAAUAAGAAGUAAUAUUUUUAAAUUUGAGUUGAUUUGGGAUUUCCUAACUGGUAGUAAUAGGAUUGACAAUUCUACUAUAUACGCCUAAGUUCUCUAGAUAUUUUUAUGGAGUUUAUUACGAGUAGUAUUGAUAUUGAAGCUUUGAGAAUUUGUUUCUCUUCCCCUUUGUUCUAUUGGUUCUA